rnacentral:lncRNA from 1 species
UUAAGAAAUUCCUGUCACAAACAAAUACAUUUUUAGGUUUCUUGGUAUUUACAAAUGAUUGCAUUCAGGAGAAAAUAAUCUUUCCUACUAAGAGAGUAAAGGGGAAAACCACGCAUUCAAUUUGUAGAAGAAAAGCCAUUUUAGUUAUUUCUAUUUUUAUUCGAGCAAAGUAUACCCGAGUUGGCCUAUUUUUCCAUUUAAGCCUAUUUAUUAUUGCCAUCCAACGUUCAUUAGAUGUUUUUGCUCCUCUGGGAAGAAAUACCCUUUAAUGCCCCUUUCUAACUACAGGGCUAUUGUGCAGAGAUGCUACCUGGUGUAUGUCUGGAAGAUAGCAGAUUGUGGAUCCCAGGUAGGCUUUGUGGGGUCAUACUGCUGGAUGAAUGACUUUGAGGAUAUCACUUCCUGGUGACAUUGCUGUGACAGGCUGACAUUGCUGUGGGCAGGAACUAGAGGGAGAACAAUCUAAGAGACCUGAUUCUCAUCAGAAAGAGAAUCUGCUAUAAUCCUCAUCUUGAGAAUGUAUAAUCUCUAAUCCUCAUCUUAGACUCACCUCUACCUGAUGACUUACCGGUAAGCAAUAACAUGUGACUGAAAUAGAGGUCUUGGAGCAGCCAGGCGUUUUCCAUGGUGGGUUUGUUAAAAUCAAUAUCACAUUUAUUUAGAUAAGAAUACCAAGUCAUACAGAAUGUUCUCCCUGGCAAACCGGGUUGAGAUGGGAAAG